rfam:Felis catus isolate Cinnamon breed Abyssinian chromosome B4, whole genome shotgun sequence.
ACCUGGGUGGCUCAGUCGGUUAAGCAUCUGAAUUUGGCUCAGAUCAUGAUCUCGUGGUUCGUGGGUUCAAGUCCCACAUUAGGCU